rnacentral:lncRNA from 1 species
AACACUAUUACAACUAGCAGUUUAGUUUUCAAAAUCUGAUACUUUUCGCCGGAGUCCUUCUGAAUGUCUGUUUGCGCUCAAAUUUGACAGUCAGACUCGGUUUUACUCAAUAAGUACAAAAAAAAUUUAAUCUUUUAGUUUCGACCACUUUUGAUCACCGAAAGCUCUACCGAACUGAAAUCUCUAACAGAUAGCAGUCGGAUUUUAUUUCCCACUUUUCGGGCGUCGGAAUGACACGAAACUUUAAAUCUAUCCUCAUAAAAAUAAUUCUGACACAUUCUCCAGUUUUCAUAAUUUUCUGACACUGUGCAUUUUCUGCUAAAAUAUCAGCCCCCUUCUAUACAGAAAAUUCUAAAUCUUCUGUUUCCGUUCCGAUUUCAGCAUAAAUCGUUUCCGACUUAUGUUUUAUUUCUUUAAGUCCAAUAAAAAUAGUACCUCACACUAUUUUUAUUUAUUUUUAUUUUUAUAUUAAAAUUCGGUACAUUACACAACGUGUCAAUUUAUCAUUCAAUUAAGAAAUUAAGGGAUCAAUUUCACUAUAAACCUCAUAUCUACAAAAACUCU